ACCGUUAGGCGCACGACGCGGGCAAAGGCGGGGUGCCUGUGGGUGCCCGCGGAGGAAGUGGCAUCCGGGCCUGGGCUGGGCAGGGCUGCCCCGCCCCAACUCCGGGCAUCCGGUCUUGGGAUGUCGAUCCUGGCGUCUGCAACCUUGAUGAACAGCUCAAGGUCUUUGUGUCCCGACACUCUGCCACCUUCUCCAGCAUUGUGAAAGGCCAGCGGAGCCUGCACCACCGUGGAGACAACCUGGAGACCCUGGUCCUCCUGAACCCAUCAGACAAGUCCCUGUGUGAUGAGCUCCGGAACCUUCUGUUGGACCCUGCCUCUCACAAGCUACUGGUGUUGGCUGGGCCCUGCCUGGAGGAGACGGGGGAGCUGCUGCUACAGACAGGGGGCUUCUCGCCUCACCACUUCCUCCAGGUCCUGAAGGACAGAGAGAUCCGGGACAUCCUGGCCACCACGCCCCCACCUGUGCAGCCGCCCAUACUCACCAUCACCUGCCCCACCUUCGGUGACUGGGCUCAGCUGGCACCCGCUGUGCCCGGCCUUCAGGGGGCGCUCCGGCUCCAGCUGC
rnacentral:sRNA from 1 species